CAGCAGCUUCUCCCUCCGGUGAAGCCACCUCCAUGGACUCUCGUCUUAGUCCAGAAACAGGCCGUGUAACCAAACCGGCACGUAGAAGAUCAAGAGCCUCACGUAGAACACCAACAACACUUCUCAACACGGACACAUCAAACUUCCGCGCCAUGGUUCAGCAGUUCACGGGCGGUCCAUCCGCUAUGUCUUUCGGGUCAGGUAAUACCACUUCCGGUUUUAGCCUCACCUCUUCGUCGGAUCCAUCCGCCGGAUCUUCCCAACAAGUUCCUUGGCAAUAUAGUUACCAGCCUCACGCGCCGCCUCCACCGCAACAGCCUUAUAUGUUCUCGUUAAACAACAUGAAUCCCGUCGUUGGGUAUAGUAACAUGAACAACCCUAAUACGAUGGUUCCUGGUGGUUUUGGAACCGCGGGCGGUGGAGGAGGAGGUUCUGCUCCGUCGUAUAAGGAAGCCACGAAUAGUAAUACGUCGUCUUCGAGACUGCAAUGAGAAAACGAUUGGAUUCUUUUGAAAUAUUUUUUUCUCCUUUUUCGCAUAAAGGCAGAAAUGUUAGGUACUGACUUUCUUUUGUCAUAGAAUGACAACUUUGACUGUUGUAUAUUUAAGUUUUUCGUUUUCAUAUUCAAGCUUUUUAUCUUUGUUUUAGGCGUUGAGCAUUUGUUUACAGCGUUAUCACUUAUCAUGGUCCUAAAUAAGCAAAUAUUCAAUGACUGAAGUUGCACACUUGCUUGCAUUCAAAAGAAAAACUCCAGUUUGGCAGUAAGCAAAAUAAAAUAACGUCUCCAAAUAAAUCUAUAUGUUUUUACGAGAAUACAUUAUCUGUUAUACUCCCUCUGUUUCAAAAUACAUGAAGUUUUAAGAUUAUACACAACUAUUAAAAAACUUGUUUUUUAUUUUAAAAAUAUCAUUAAAAUAUAAAUUAAAAAUUAUUUAACCAAUCACAAAACAGACUACAAAAUAUCAUUAGCUACACAGUUUUUGAUAAAGUGAAAAAAUACAUUGAUAUAUGAAAACAUCAUCUAUUUUGAAACAUCAAAAACUACCUAAAACAUCAUCUAUUUUGAAACGGAUGGAGAAUAAAUUAUUAUGGCAUCCAUAUUUUCUACUAGACUUAGGUAAACUAAAGCAAUGUUCUCGAACACUAAUAUAUCACGUAUAUAUAUUAUAUAUAUUAACGCUCUAUAUAUGUUAAAAACAUACUUUCACGUAAAGUUCUGAACUACAUGUGAAAAAUUGAAAUUUCUUCAAUAUUAUUCAAAUUAAUAGUAGUAUAUAUGUAUAACGUGCAUGUAAUGGAGGAAAUGUGAGAGAAAUAGCUUACAUCCAAUUUCUGUAUUCAUUUAUUGUAGGCAUUCAAACAUGAAAAUUAGUUAGUGUGAAUGUAGUUUUAUCUGCUUUGCCAAAUUAGCUCGAUAAAAUGCAAAAUAUGAAUAUAACUUUAUAUAACUUAUUUUAUAAAAUGUGCAUGGAAUGGAGGAUGCCUACAAUAAAUGAAUACAGAAAUUGGAUGGAGAAUGCCUACAAUAUAUGAUCCACUUAAGCUACAUUCAUUUACUUACACCCCAACGAUUGUAUUCUUAUUCGAUAAAACUGUAACUGUAAGUGAAUGUUCUUUUACCAAAUUGUAGCGAUAAUAUAGAAUAUGAAUAUAAGUUAAAACUUUAUAGUUUGCUUCUUUUUAUGGCACAAUAUAUUUUCUAUUGUCAUAUAACUUGUAGACGGAAAACGAUGACUAUCCUUUUCCAGUUCACAAUUUGAUUACUUUUUUCUUUGUCUUCAAUCACUAACUUUAUAAGAUUGUUGAAAUAUAUUUGAAGGAGAAUUUUCGCCAAGACCAGAAUAAUCUUUUAACAUUAAAAUAUGGUGAUGAUUAAUUGGAUCAUAUAGAAAUUAAACUUGCUUUUCGUUGGAAACAGAGGAAGCUUUUGGGUGAAGGUAGGCUACCAACAUUAACACACCUAGAUUCUUACGUUAUCGUUUAUUUUUCCUCUUUUAAUUUCUUCCCGCUCAUAUUAAUUAUGAUUUAGACUGAAAGUGAGAUGGAUCUUUUGAUUUAGAUCGAUGUUUUUGUUAAUAUAGAGUUUGGCCAAUAUACCAAAGCCAAACUCUAUACUUAUAGAAUGUCUUUAGUUUUUUUUCUUAGUCUUUUGCAUUUUUAAUAGAUUUUAGAUUCUUAAGAUAAAUCCAUAAAUUAAUAAGAGAAUAUUUCUAUCAUGUUGUAGACGUGUUUAUAUUUGACAAAUAAAAUAAUAUAAAAGGAAUUAACAAUGAAGAAUCUUAUUAAAAAAAAAGUAACAUCGACGAAGUGACAAAAAAAUUGAGUGAUAAAGGGGUUGUGAAGAGGGGAUGUAUCUAAUACGCAUUGUGGGUCCCUUAACCUCAAGUGAAAUUUCCUUUUCUUAACUGAAUUUGAAUUCAUUCAUCAAUUAUUAUACUAUACAACUAGGCAAUAAUCCGCACCUUGCGCGAAAUAUGAUUAUUAGUUUCGUUAUUUUUUAAUAAAGAGACAUUAAUCUAUUUAAUUUGAAUAUCGGUUCGGUUUUAGGUUGAUUUUUGGUUUUUAAUCUCCUAAAAUAUAACUAUCAUUUUAAAUCAAUAUUUAUUUUGUUUGUUCGGUUAAAAUGUUUGAUGUUUUUGGUUUUUUUUUCAUGUGAUAAUUAAAAAUUACUAUUAUUUGUUUGUUUUCAUGUUAUGAAACUUAGAUAGUCGUGAUGUCGAAUCAAUGGUUUCAUAUUAUAGUUUCUAAAUAGAUAAUAGUUCAAAAAGAAAAGAAAAUUGUUAAGACAAAUCAUUUUACUACAAUUUGGUCGAUAGGGAAAGAAGCCUUAAGAAAAAGAAUAUUUUAACUUCAAAAAAAAUUUAGAUAUUUCAGUUGUGGUAAAUAUUUAGUUAUAAAGUGCUCACGUCAAUGUGUCCAUGUAUGUGUAUGUAAAGGUAUAUAAAGAUGGUUGUUAAAUAUAUAAAGAUAAUGUUAAUUAAUAUUAAAUGAUAUUUUUUCAAAAUAAUACAUGAAAAAUAAAAUUCUUAAAAUGAAUUUAUUUAAAAAUAAAAAUACUGUAAAAUUUAUAUAAACUAUAAUAUAUAACUUAUAUAUAAUUCUUUAAAUAUAUGUAUAUAUAUAUAUAUGCAUAUAACAGAUCAAAUUAGAUAUUCGUUCCUAUAAAUACUGAUAUUUGUGGUUUGCUCUUUUUUUUACUGAUAUUGCAUUUUAGUAUUUAAUUUGCUUCGUACAGUAACGAAUAUCCAGAUUUUUCGGUUCAAAUCAAAAUUUUAUGAAUAAUUGUCUAGCUGUAUUCGUAAACAGUAAAAAUAACGUAAAGAAGAACCAUGCAUGUGAGUUUUAUAUUAAAAAAAUGUAAAGUACAUAGUGUGAACAUAUUUAUGUAGUGUUUGGCUGAGAAACUCUGUACAUGUAAUAUGUGUCCAUUUUAGUGUGAACACAUUUAUUACAAUGCUUCUACACGUGACAUGUGUCCAGUUUAGUGUAAAUGCAUUUAUUACAAUGCUUCUCUUUUAAUAUAUAACGGAUUAUACAAAACAUCUUAUUACGAUCCUCAAUCUUAUACUUUGGUAGAUUUUGAUGUUAUUUAUGAUUAAAUUAGCCAUCUUCUUUCAUACAUACUUAAAUAAAUGCGAUAAUCAAUUCUUUUGAACAAGUAGAUAUAAAGGGUGAUUUUAAAACACAAGAGGAAGCAUUUUUUUUUUGUCAUCAAACAAACAAACUCAUAUUAACUAUGUGAACCAAACUGGUAGCUCUGCAUCCAUGUGAACGACGAAAGACGAUUGUUUUCUUGCACUCUGUACUAGAUUAUCCGUCUUUUGAUUCUCCGUUCGGGGUACAUGAAUGAUCUCUGAGCUGAAGAAACAUGUCUUCAGCAUCUUUAUAUCUUCUAGAUAAUUUUCAAACGCCAGCUAUUCUUUUGGUUCCGAAACCAUCUUCACCAAUUGAGAACAAUCCAUAGCAAAUGUGACAUAAUAUUGAUGUAAAUUUCUCAUACACUCCAUCACCCAUAUUAACGCUUCCAUCUCCGAAUGGAGAGGUGAAAGACUUGCCCGAAUAUUCCUUGCACCCAACAAACCAUCAAAUCCCUCAAGAAUAUUAUACCAACCCUCGUCUGAAUAAUACUCUUUAUCUUUCCAAAAACCAUCUAUAAAGCACCAAGGACCUGUCCUCCUCGGACAGUGCCUAACCUCAACUUGUUGUGAUGGCUGCUGAAUAUUCUUCACCUGAGCCUCAGCCCAAAGUUUGGAUUCGGUCUCCGCAAGAUUAAGUGUAUCUCGUGGGUCCAUAUCCAAAUUACUAAAAACUUUGUUAUUCCUACCUUUUCAAAUGUACCAUAAUAUCCAUACAAAAUGAUGAUCUUCCCUCUCCGGGAUAACCCUCCAGAAAAAAUGAUCCAAAUUUAUGAAGAUAGAACUAGUAGGGAAAAGAUCUAGGUUUGACAGUAUCUUUGACAACGCCCAAACUUGACGCAUAGGAGGACAUUAAAAAAAUACAUUAUUUAUUGAUUCCUCAUCAGCUCCACAUCGAGCACAACAUAUAUCUCCUUGAAUUCUUCUCGCUUGCAAAUUCUUUUUUCACAGCCAUACAUCCUGAUACCAUCUAUCAUAGAAAAUGAUUUAUUUUCGGAGGGUAUCUCAAUCUCACCUUCCAACAAAACGCUUUUAAAAUAUCCACUGUAGGACCAUAGACCUACGGUGGUUUUGCCUUAUCCGGAUAGACCCGUUCUAGCUGGUAUCUUGAUUUAACCGAGUAUUUCCUAUUAGUUGUGAAAUGUCAUCCAUCACUAUCCAUCAUCUGGUUUCUACUCAGGAGUAUAAUUUUAAUAAUUUUAGCAUUUUAGGAGUCCACCAGAGCCCAAAUUUUUUGCGUAUUCCAAGUUAGUAAAACUGGAUCAAUGAAAAAGUCUACAAUAGGUAGCAUUGAAUUGGAAUAAACUAUCUACUAUUCUUUCACCUAACAGUUUUUUGUAGUAAUAUAGUUUAGAAAUGUAUUUAAUUGUAUAUAAAUAUAAAUAUAAUUAUAAAUAUAUAUAUAUAUAUCUUAUGAGUUUAUUGAGUGGUAGAUUAGUGGUUGAGUUGUAGUUUUUCUAGAUGGUCAUGUAAAUUUCAAACUCCAUCCAUAUGGUAAUGUAAUGAUAUUACAAAGUAAAAACCAAAAUAAAAACUCUCACUCAGAAGUUCCAGAGCAGUUUGAUUUUUGAAGUCGCACAUUGUCGGAGGAAGCUUGAAUAGUGAUAGAUAAGACAACUCAACUAGAAACUUCGCGAGAUCCAUUUGAAUCACCUCAUUCGUACAUAAAUAAACACUCAUUUUAUUCAAAAAUUCAGAUAUAAGGUUUAAGUUUAACCAGUGUUUAAUUGUUUAUAAUCACCUUCUGGUAACUAUCUUAUUAAAAGGAAAAUUUCAUAAUUACCCAACUAAAUUUCGUUAAAUUUUUUUAUAUCCAAACUUUUAUACUACAUAGUUUAAUACUUCAACUAAUUAUUUUGCUCAGUUUAAUACGCUUGCUUUUAAAACUAUGUUCAUUUUAAUACACAAACUAUGCUAAUUUUAAUAAUAAGUUUUAAACAAAACUUUAAAAAUCUUUAAAUUUCAAAAACAAAAUUUAUUACCUAUUUUCUUUUUUAAAUAACAUAUGUUUGGAUAAUCUUAAUUUUUAUAAUAUUAGUUUUAGUGCUAAUUUCAAUUUUUUUUAUUUUCUGAAGUUUAAAAUAAUUUAUUUAUUUUAUUCAUGAUUAUGGUUUUCUAAAUUUUAAAAUACUAUCUCGUUAGUUUUAUUCCUAAAAAAUUAAAAUAAAGAUUUUUAAAAUUUUAUUUAAAACUUAUUAAUAUCUUUGAUUAAAAUUAAUAUAGUUUGGGUAUUAAAAUAACACAUUUUUAAAAGUAAAUGUAUUAAAAUGUGCAAAAUAAUUACUUGAAGUAUUAAACGGGUAUCAAACUGUGUUGGGUAUUUAACUAAGAUGAGUAAACUUUACAACAUUUUUUAUUUUAUUUUUGUCAUGAAAGUAUCAUUCAUUGAUUAGGUUGUACCAUUGUCAAUAUUUUCUUGUCAACGUACCAAUGUCAAUUUGUAAAGUUGAUCACAAACAGACUAGAAACCAUCUACAAGAAAUAAGGAUUCAACUUUUGUGAAGUAUUAUUGUCAAUUUGUGAAGUUGAUCACAAACAAAUUAUGAAUCAUCUGCAAUAAGAAAUAAGGAUUCAACUUCGGAAAUUGUGUCAAUUUAUGAAGUUGAAUCUUUAUUUCUUCUUUCAGAUGGUUCAUAGUCCAUUUGGGAUUAAUAAGUCAGUUUGUGCUUUGUAUAAACAACUCAAAUCUAGAGUAUUUCGUUCAGUUUUUGUAUCUACAACAGCGGGUGAUGACGAUGACAAUGGCGAUGGCGAUGAAAAUCCAGAUGGGGAUGGGAUUCUUCCUAUUGAUGGGAGGAAGAAUAGAGGAAGACAAUUUACUGAUGAUGUCAAGACAAACAGUUGAUCAAAGCCAAAGUUGUUAGCUGUGAGGUCUGGAGACAAAUGGAAGGUUGAUUGAUAUUGUAACCCGUAUGUUAUCAUCUCUCGGGGGAUCAGUUGCUCAUGUUUAUCAGUAUGAUCAUAUCGUUCCCUGGUGAUAGUUGAUUACAACUUUUAAAGACACACUAAAUUUAUGAUGAAACAAACAAAAUUAACUAAUUAAAUCAUUUAUAAAUGUUUAAAAAAAUAUUUAUAGAAGCUUAUAAACUAACUCCACCUCUUAAAUACUAAAACCUAAACAAUAAUCAUAAAUCUUGAAUCCAAAUAUUAGAGUAUUUUUGAUUGAUCAUAUUUUUUUUCUUUUUUUGAGCAAAGAUUGAGCAUAUAUAUUUUUAAAAUAGUAGCCAACUUAGAAUAUUUCAAGAAAUUUCGCUUAAAAGUAUCAUAUUGGUGUAAAUAUAAAGACUAUCUAAUUAUAUAUGUAAUUAUACUGCUGAUUUUAUUUUAUAUAUUUAAAUUAGGAACUAAAUGGAGUGAAAUGGAGGGUUGGUAUGUUAUCAUCUCUCACGAGGAUCAGAUGCUCAUGUUUAUUAGUAUGAUCAUUUCAUUCUCUGGUCAAAAUCACAUGACUCAAGCCUGGAGAAUUGUCAGGUACUCCAAUCAAUGGUGAAUACUUGGAAUGACGCUUUAUUACAGCUAUAAAUUUGGUUUGUUAAGCUUUUAAACUCAUAUUCUCUGUUUUGGAAGAUAAAUUGUCUAUUUGAAUUUUAGGGUCUGCUGUAGCGAUGAUUCACAAACUCUCAACAAUGGGAUCAUCACAAGAUAAUCAAGAACAGAUAAAGUCGUCUAAAGUAGAUAAUCUUCUUCUUGCAUAGCUUACAUAAUUCAUCAAAGUUAGCUUUUUUUUUGUUUGUUUGUCAAACGAAUUGUCUUGUAACCUCUUGUUAUUUGUGUCUUUGUCUAGUAGAUAUGUUUCUUACUUUGUGAUUACAAAUUAAACUCGAGAGUUUAGAUUUUUUGGUCUCUCGUUUGCCUUUAUUUUGAAGAAGUGUGAAACUUAUGAUGGUCCACAAAACUAGUCAAAUAACACAAGCUACUGAUUGGGGUUUCAUGUGGGACAAACCCAAGUUGAAACCCUCCAAAACUUUUGUACUAUUUUAACAUCUCUGUUUUUUUUUUUUACUUAUUUUUUGGUUAAAAUUGAGACUUUAGGCAUAUAAUAAGAAAACUUUCAGUAGAGUAUCUCAACUUAAAAUAAAUAAAAAUAUAUUAUUGUUCGAUUAUGAAUAUUUCAAAACGAGAAAAACUCAAUCGAAAAUAUCACAAAACGGUGAAAAGUUCAGUCCAAAAUAUCUCAAAUAAUAUAUUUUGACUAAUUUCUCAUCACUCUAAGAUAUCUAAUGAUAUUAGAUCAUUAUUUUAUUUACUUUUUAGAACUACUAAUUUAUUAUAAAAUUUUUGCUCUAGAUCCAUUUCCAUUUUAGUUUUUAUCAUGAUAACUCAAACAUUAAAAUAACUAAAAUAAGAACUUGCUAGAUACUCACAAGAUACUAUGAAAAAUAAUUUGCAUAACAUUAUUGGUCAAAUUUUUUUAAAAAAAUAUUGAAAUUCAAUAGUUUUAUAUAAGUAAACUUAAAAUAACUGAAAUAAAAACUUGCUACAUAAUCACAAAAUACUACGAAAAUAUUUGGCAUUAUAUUAUUAGUCAUUUUCUUAGAAGUAUCUUGAAAUUUAAUAGUCUUAUAGUAAAAACUAUAUAAAGUAAUGAUAUUGGAAUUACGAAAUUUUAUUAUUUUUAGAGUUAUUAAUUUACAAAAAAUAUUUUUAUAUUUUAAAAUAUAUUUUUAAUAAAAUAAGAUAAAUUGUUUAUUUUGUCGUGUAUAUGUUAAUUAAAUUAUUAAAAUUAGACUUUUAUUAUUUUUGUUAUACUAUUUGGUGUAUACAAAAUAUGUUUCAUAGAAUUUAAAUGUAGUUUUUAGAUAUAAUUUGACCUAAUAUUUUCAAAAUAUAUUGAUGUGUUAAGAAAAAUAAAGUUCAAUUUCAUUGUGAAUGUAAAAUAAAUAAUACAAUGAUUUUUUUGUACAUAUAUAAACAUUGUAUGUAUGAAUUAUUAAUUUAUGAUUUUAAUGGAUUAUAUAGAUACAUUGAAUUUUCUAAAAAAAUAUAUUAUCUUAUUUUUUCGAUUUGUGUCAUAUUUUGAACCGGGCAAAUUCGAGACCGAAGAAAUUUAUUAAUUUACUAUGUUUGUAACUGAUCGAGUAUUAAUUUAUAGUAUUUGUACCGUAUAACUGAACUUAAAUAAAAUUAAAAAACACCGAAAGAAUAUCUUAAAGUGAAAACAAUCAUAAAACUAUAAUGUUUACAAGAGAUGAUGCGUAGUGAAGAUGAGAGAAAGGAAACUACAAUGGUUUUGUUUUAUUUAUUUAUAUACAUCAUUACAAGAGAUGAUCAGCUUGCAGUGGUACUUGUAUACAAAGAACAAAGUGUACAAGGCGAGGUAAAUAAUGGAUCUACAAUCUCACUUAAAUCGUCUUCCAAUGGCUUAGAACCUCCAUCUCCUGUCUGGCUGAAUAAUGUUUCUCUUCCAAUGAUGAACAACGAGUGUUUAUGACCAUAGAGAAUUGCUGCAAUGUUACCAACAAAUGAGAGUUUUGGGCGCUUACCCACCUUGAAUCAUCUCACUUCUUAACACAUCUUCUCUCCUUAUUCUGUGAGAGCUAAAAGAGUUACUAGCAUUCUACAUCACUCCUCUAAUUCCAAACUUGGGGUAACCAUAGGGAAUGUUGUCAGAUACGAAUCACCUCUCAUAUCUUUAGCCAAACCCUCAAUGACAUCAUAUAUCUCAUCACUCUGAGGAUGCUCUUGAUCUCUAGACACAAAACAAUUUACAUUACCUGCAACUUCAAUCCCACUACGACCAACUUCUUUCCUUAAACCCUUUUCUCUCAUUCCUCUCCUCAACCUAUCAACACUCGUCCAUUUCUGUUCCUCAGCAUACAUAUUCGAGAGCAAAACCUGAUAUCCUGAAAAGUUCUUCCCUUUAUCCACUUUAGCUAACUUCUCUGAAACAGUUUCAGCAAGCUCAAUCUCACCGUGUACUCUACAAGCUCCCAGGACCGAACCCCAUAGCUCAGCAAUGUUUCCUUCUUCACCAAGCCCUUUAACAAACUCGUAGGCUUCAUCAACGCGGCCUACUCUCCCUAACAUGUCUGUAACGCAGCAAUAGUGCUCAUUGGAAGGCUGGAUGUUAUAAACUUCACUCAUUUCCUCGAAUAUUUUGAGACCUUCAUCCACUAAACCGGAAUAGCUGCAAGCUGAUAAUACUGCAACAAAGGUGACAGCAUCUGGUUUGACUCCAGACUCUUCCAUUGAACGAAACAGCGAGAUAGCUCUCUCACCCAUUCCGUGUUGACCAUACCCCAAUAUCAUCGUGGUGUACGUCACAGAGUUUCUCUCUUUCGUUUGGUAAAACAUGUUUUCUGCGUACUGUAUCGCUCCUGACUUUGAGUACAUAUCAACUAACGCAGAAGCAACAAAUACGUUCUGAUCCAAGUACUGCCUUAUAGAGAAACCAUGUAGCUGUUUACCUAAGUCGAAACUACCUAUCUGGCUACACGCAGGGAGAAUCGACGCCACAGUUAUGGCAUUGGGUUUGAUAUUCUGUUCUAACAUCUUCCUGAACACAGCAAACGUUUCCUCUGUGUGUCCGUUCUGCGUGUACCCGGACAUCAUAGAGUUCCAAGUAGCUUGAUCUCUUUCAGCAUAGCCACUUCUCUCGAAAAGCUUCUCUGAGAUCCUUAUUAGACCUGACUUAGCAUACAUGUCAAUAAGGUAACUGUUCAUCCCCUCGAACUGAAUCCCUUGCCUUAAAAGGAAACCAUGAGUCUGCUUCCCAAUCUCCUUGUUUCUAAGAUUCGACGCAGCCGAAAGCAAAGCAGUCACUGUUAUGUAAUCGAUCUUAAACCCCUGCUUCUGCAUCUCAUACACCAACAUCAAUCCUUCAUCAUCUAAGCCGUUUUGGACAAACGCAGAGAUCAUUGUGUUCCACGUCACAACAUCUCUCUCUCGCAUCGAAACAAAGACCGCAAAGGACUCGUGCACAGAGCCGCACCUCGAGUACAUCACCAUCAACGAGUUGAAUAUCACAACGGGAAGCUCCUGAAAGUUCUUGCUGACAAAACCAUGAAACUGUCUACCUAACUCCACUUGCUGCAGCGCUGAAACUGCACUCGCUGCCAAGAGGAACGUUACUUCGUCAGACACAAUCUCUUUCGAUCCUAUUGCAUCAAGAAAAAGAUCGAUACUCUCAACCAGGUACUCGUUCUGAACAUAGACUCCUAUCAUUGUAUUCCACACCUCAAUAUUCCUCUCUACACAAGAAUCAAACACUCUCCGUGACGCUUCAAUAUCGCCAAGCUCCGCAUACAUAGAAAUAGCCGAGCUCACAACAAACAAGUCCUUCACAUACUCAUCUCCCAACUUAAGCAUCAAACCAUAAAAUACUUUAGCUCUCUUAACACUUCUCGAACUCGCCACCGCGGGGAAGACAUUCACAAAGCUAACCGGACUCGGUUUAAUCUCCAUCCUCAUCAUAAUCCCAAACUGCCUACACGCCUCAGCGUGUCUCUCCGUCUUCACAUACCAAGAAACCAACGUAUUCCACGCCACAACGUUCUUCCUACGCAUACUAUCAAAAACCUUACGCACCACGUCGUACUCGCUUCCAGGAGGAGGGUGGUUCAAGCAAGAAACGUACAUAUUCAACAGAGAGUUAUGAACAACCCUGCUCGAGUUCUGCAAGCACCGGAUCAAAUGGCAAUGCACGGCUUUACCAGCCUUCAGGUUCCUGGUCUCGGCGCAGGCCUUGAGCGUGGAGGAGUAAGUGUAAGGGUCGCAUUUGGUGAAAGGAGCGGUCUUUUUCAUCCGGGAGUAGAAAAGGAGAGCCUCGUGCGGGAGGUUGUUGCAGAUGAGGCCGAUGAUAAUGGUGUUCCAUAGGACGGUUGUUGGUUUGGGAAUUGCGUCGAACAGCUGGCGUGCGAGCUGUGGGUUUCCUUUUUGGCAGAUUCUGCUGAGGCGUGAGCGGAUUGAAGGUGUUUGGGGAGUUGGGUUUGUUGGUGGGGCGAAGGUGGAAGAGCGGCGGGUUUGGUUUGGCGGGGGAGAGUGGAACGAAAGUGGCGGUGGUGGUGGGAGAGGUAGAGCUGAUCCGGCCAUUGUGGAAGAGAUGAUGAAGAACGAAAUGAAGAUACGUUAUUGACUCUCUCUUCCGCUUAUGUUAUCAUCAUCUUUCUUCAGUGAUAAGAGUUUGUUUAUUAUCUAUUUUUUAUAAGAUAGAUUACCAUUUUUCAAAGUACACUAAAUUUGUGAUAAAAAAAAAUAAAAAAUAGACCAACUAAACUAUUUAUUAAUGUUUAAAAAAAUAUUGGGUAAAUAAUCCAUAUUUUCCCACCAAAAAUAUUGGGUAAGAAACUAUCAAUCUCGUCUUAAUUAUAUGUAUCUAUAUUAUUAAAAGAGAAGUACCCAUUUGAAAAUGUUUUUACUUCAUUAAUUAAACUUCCCUUUUUUUUGCUUGUCUUUUUCAGUUGCAUUUAUGAAAUAUCCUAAAACAAAUAAAACUGCCUAAUUGAUUACUUGUCUUUUCAGUUACAUUAAUGAAAUAUGCUUAAAUGAAUUUAAACUUCCUAUUUUAUUGUUUGUCUUUUUCAGUUACCUUAACGAAAUAUCCUUAAAUAAAUUUGGACAUAAUGUCAUUUAAUCAACCAAAAAAACUCAUGAGUUAUCCUUACGUGCAUAAUUUUAAUAAUGGAGAUUUUUAAAAAGAGAAAAUGACACAAAGAACACUAAAUGAAGUUUUCCUCCCCAAACUAGCACUCAGGAUCAGAAUUCACAAAAAUAGGUUUCAUUAAAUGGGCAAUUUACCCUUAUGCCCCCUUCUUUAACUAAUUUAAAAAACAAAUUUGAAAUCAAUUUGUCGCCGUCCUCGUUUCAUCGCUUCUUCUUCUCGUCUCUCCGUCGUCGUCGUCGUCGUCUCUCCGUCGUCGUCUCCCCGUCCUUGUCGUCGUCGUCGUCGUCGUCUCUCCGUCGUCGUCUUCGCCUCUCCGUUGAUCCGUCGUCGUCGUCUCUCCGUUUAUUUAUCGUCGUCGUCGUUUCUCAAUUGAUCUGUCGUUUCUACGUCUAUUCAUCUCAUUCUCUCUCUCGUGUGUCUGAUUUGAUUAAGGUUUGAAUCAUUUCAUUUUGUUAUACAUUAUCUAGGUUUUGUUAUAUAUUAUUCAUUUGUUGAUGAUUUGAAGUUGAUUUUGUAGAACAAUGGAAGUUUUGUGCAUCUGUGGACAAUGGAUCUCAAAAGAAUCUCUCCAGUGGGAGUUUCUUGUUGAUUUGAAGAGGAAUGCAUCAAUCAUUUCCAUAGAAGAAGAUCUACUGUAUGAAGAUUUGAUGAAGAUUGUCUCUGAAGAUUUUAGUGUUAAAGAGGAAGAAAUCAGUUUGAGUUAUGGUUUUUCAUUGGAUAUGAAAUGUAUUAUUGAAAGUUUCCCCCCACUCUCGAUAGGUAAUACUCGUCAGCUCAGAACUUUCAUUUCCAAGACUAGAGCAUUUGAUGGAACCUGUCGUUUGUGUGUUAAGGUUUGUAUGAUUUUUUCUUAGACUUUUCAGGAUAUGCUUCAUAACCAAGUAUUAUGCCUUACAGAACUACUUGACUUAUGCAGGUUAGUACUGAUCCAGUUAGCUGUAACACUCAAGCUUCUGAUACAUUUGCUUCUACUGUUCCAUUGAAUGCCAAUCCAGCGAUUCUUUCUACUGUGCAGAGUGAAAAACAGGUACAUUGUCCUUAAUUCCCUUUUUCUGUUUGUGUUUGCAUGAUAUGCUUCAUAAUCAAGUACUAUGCCUUACAGAACUACUUGACUUUUGCAGAGUCUUCUAUAUGAAGGUGUUUCUACAGUUCCUCUGAAUGCUCUUCCGGAUUUUAGUACUGAUUCAGCUAGCUGUAACAUUCAAGCUUCUGAUACAUUUGCUUCUACUGUUCCAUUGAAUGCCAAUCCAGUGAUUCUUCCUACUGUGCAGAGUGAAAAACAGGUACAUUGUCCCUAAUUCCCUUUUUCUGUUUGUGUUUGCAUGAUAUGCUUCAUAAUCAAGUAUUAUGCCUUACAGAACUACUUGACUUUUGCAGAGUUUUCUAUAUGAAGGUGUUUCUACAGUUCCUCUGAAUGCUCUUCCGGAUUUUAGCCCUGUCCAUAUUGGACUUUCACCAAACACGAGAGUAGCUGGCGAUAUUAAGGUGAAUAGCUAUUUUAAGACAAAGAGAGAGUUGAUGUUGAGGAUGAAGAAAUGGGCUUUAGAGUGGAAGUUUGAGUACAAGACUGUCUCUUCUAACAAGUCAAGAGUGCUUUUGAGUUGUGUUGAUGAAAAUUGCACGUGGAGGAUGCGUGCUAUCAAGCUACCUGUUUCAGAUUUUUUCGUUGUUAAAAAGUAUGUUCAUGAGCAUACAUGCGAUACAACACACAGGAAAGCCAACCACAGACAAGCAUCUGCAAAGUUGUUGGGUUCUUUGAUUUCCAGCAAUUAUGGAGAAAAAAAGGAAGGUCUCAAACCGAAACAGAUCAUUGAACAGGUCAGGAUGCUGCAUGGUGUUCACAUCAAUUACAAACAAGCUUGGAGAGUGAGAGAAGAAGCUCAGAUUUUGGUUAGAGGGACUCCUGAAGACAGCUAUUACAAUUUGUCUAGGUGGUUGUAUAAAAUCACAGAAACAAACCCUGGUUCCUUGACUUAUCAACAUGUUGAUGCUGCAGGAAAGUUCAAGUAUGCAUUUGUGGCUUUUGGUCCAUCGAUAAGGGGAUUUUCAUUGAUGAGGAGAGUUAUUGCAGUAGAUGGUACAUUUCUGAAGGGAAAAUUCAAUGGGACUUUAUUGGCAGCUUGUGCUCAAGAUGGGAAUUAUCAUCUAUAUCCUCUCGCCUUUGCAGUGGUUGACGCAGAAAACGGCGCCUCUUGGAAAUGGUUCUUUAGAGGUUUGAGCCAGAAGAUCCCGGACGCUUCGGAUCUUGUUUUUGUAUCAGACAGGGCUAACUCCAUUUCUUCAGCGUUGGAGGAUGUAUAUCCCUUAUCUCACCAUGGAAUUUGCAGGAUCCAUCUGCUCCGCAACAUCACUCCUACAUAUGCGAAGACUGGGUUGCUACCUCUGGUGGAAAGCGCUGCUGAUGCCUAUACGUGUCACGAGUUCUGGUUAAUCUUCAAGGACAUAAAGGAUAAAUGUCCUGAAUUGGCUAAGUAUCUGGAAGAGUCUGAUUUUAGGAAGUGGGCACGAAGCUAUGCGCCUGCGAACAGGUAUAAUAUCAUGACUACCAACAUUGCAGAGUCUCUCAAUUCUAUGUUGAAGAUGCCUCGUGAGUUGCCCAUUAUCUCUCUCCUUGAAACUAUCAGAUUGACGAUGACCACUUGGUUUUUUGAGCGACGCGAAGCGGCUGCGAAACAUAAGCACCUGGUUACUCCAAAAGUUGUUCAGAAAUUGGUAUCUAGGUUAGGGGCCGCAAUGUUGUUGAAUGUGUAUCAAGUUGAUCGAAGCGAGUUUGAGGUGAAGAAUGAAACAAUGAAGUUUGUUGUUGACUUGGAGAAGCGGCAUUGCACAUGUAAUGUUUUCGACAUUGACAAGAUCCCCUGCAUCCAUGCCAUCGCUGCUGCUAAGCAUAUCAAGAGAGAUGAAAACCGUUUUGUUGAUGCUUCUCACUUGACAGAAACGUGGGCUAAAGCUUAUGCUGAAAGCAUACAUCCUGGUGGAGAGUUGUCAACGUCCACCUAUCCAGAGAAUAUUGAUGAACUGUCUUGCCCACCUCCAGCUACCAAAAAGAAAAGUGGACGCCCUCCUACAAAGAGAAAGAGAUCCGUUGGCGAGUUUGGGGUUCCUGGAUCUAAAUCUCAGUCCCACAAGUGCAGCAGAUGUGGCACAGGAGGGCACAACAAGAUCACAUGCCAGAGGCCUAUAGGAUGAAGUUCUACAUUUUUACAUUUUUAUCGAUUAUUAUUUGGAUGUUUGGCUAUUUGAUGGUUACAUGAUAUGCACAAGACCAUAUACAUUUUUUCUUUUGGAACCCUAUCCUGAAUAAGUAUGAUUUCUUACAACUUUUGUAAUAUACAACAUUAUCUUUUGAUCUCAUUUCAAUUUUUAGUUUAAACUUCUUUGCUAGAAAAAAACACAGUAAUAUUCAACUAUUCUGGAAUCCCAUCCAACUUUUGUAACAUCCAACUUUUGUAAUAUACAAUGUAUUAUACUAUAAAUUGUAUGGGUAAAUUCAAUUAUGUGGAAGCAACUAACAGAUGAUUCUCCUCAGCCUAGCGGCUAAACCACGAAACCUAUGAUACCGAAACAUUUGAUCGACCCGGGUUCGACUCUCCUACGAGUAAUGGGUUUUUUUUUUUUUGUUCAAACAUAUAUCUCAGGAAUCACAUUUGUCGCAAUCGGAAGCCCAUCCUGAACUAUCAAAGAUCUUUCCAAUGUAUUAUACUAUAAAUUGUAUGGGUAAAUUCAAUUAUGUGGAAGCAACUAACAGAUGAUUCUCCUCAGCCUAGCGGCUAAACCACGAAACCUAUGAUACCGAAACAUUUGAUCGACCCGGGUUCGACUCUCCUACGAGUAAUGGGUGAUUUUUUUUUUUUGUUCAAACAUAUAUCUCAGGAAUCACAUUUGUCGCAAUCGGAAGCCCAUCCUGAACUAUCAAAGAUCUUUCCAAUGUAUUAUACUAUAAAUUGUAUGGGUAAAUUCAAUUAUGUGGAAGCAACUAACAGAUGAUUCUCCUCAGCCUAGCGGCUAAACCACGAAACCUAUGAUACCGAAACAUUUGAUCGACCCGGGUUCGACUCUCCUACGAGUAAUGGGUGAUUUUUUUUUUUUGUUCAAACAUAUAUCUCAGGAAUCGAAGAGUCUCUUCCAAACGAUAUCAUGUAACUCAGUAACCGAAGAGUUUCUUUUCGUCAAGAUUGGGUGUUAUAUGAUUGGUUAUUUCAGUAACUGACUUCAAUAAUCGAAGAGUUCCACAAUAAUCAAGAGUUUAUUUUAACUGACUUCAAUAAUCGAAGAGUUCCUUUUUGUUCUAUAAAUAUAAGGGACGAUAUCAGACCUUUUAUUCACUCACUUCAUUUCGCUUGAUAUAUCCUUUUGCAAUACAAGUUAGUUUUCGAUUUUUCUCAUUUUCCAUUCAAUUCAUGAACUUUUUUCUAUUUCUAUUUUAUCGUAACAUCUUAGUUUCGAUUUUGUUGCAGGACAAAGUUUCAAUGGAAGGAAGUUCAAAGAAGAUGAUGAAGCGUCCCAUAGAGGAGGUUUACGGAUGUGAUGCCGCCGAAGGUUUCAAGAAGGGGAAGAAGGAAACUGUGGAACAUUACAGGGCUCUUCUUCGUUUGUCCAACGAAUACAGGCUAUCUGAGAAUGAUUGGAAUCUUGCAUCCAGCAAAGCAAAUUCAAUUGCUGUCCAAAUCGAGUUGCUUGAAGAUAUUAUCAAAGCUGAUGGAAAAUUUGAUUUAACUGCUGAGUUGGAGAAACUCAAAGAAGAGCACUCGGAAGCGGAAGGAAUGCUUGCUGAUGUGAAGGUCAAAGUCCCUGAUUGGGAUAAACUUGGCGAAAGUUGGCUCCAUCAUGAGUAAUUUCAUGUUAUCGUCUUCUCUUUUUAUGUUUUUAAGGACCACAUUAUGUUUGAUUUUCAGUUUUUAUUUUAAAUGAAUAAGCACUUUUGUUUCUCUUGUGUUGUUUCUUCAAUUAACAACCUAAAUAAAAAACUUGUUCAAUGUUUUUCACUAUUUUGUAAUGGUUUGGCCUAGUGUUCUUAUAACUUGGUUAUCUGAUUUGCUUAUUUGUUUUUGGAAAGCCAUCCUGAAUACAUAAAAUGAUAUCCAGAUUAUAUAAAUCUAUCGUCUGUGAAUAAAUGAGUUCACAUUUACUCUGUUAUCGAAUAUCCAACGUAGCCUAGUGGCAAGCCCUUCUACUCUUAGUGUACCCUUAUCACACAAUAAGUCGUGUUCGAUCCCCGUUGUGUAUACUCACAUUUUUUUUGUUUUUAAUUAAAUAUUCAAACGUUAUUUUCGUUUUAUUGUAGCUUUUGGCAAGUAUAAGACCCUUGGUACAACGGCUGCACACUUGGAUUAAUCUAUCGAGAGUUCACGAGUUCAAUCAACAUCAGAUCACAUUCUUUUUCAUUUUUUUUUUGUAAACUUUAAAGGAAUUUGUUUUUGGAAAGCUAUCCUGAAUACUUAAAAUGAUAUCCAGAUCAUAUAAAUCUAUCGUCUGUGAAUAAAUAAGUUCACAUUUACUCUGAUAUCGAAUAUCCACCAUAGCCUAGUGGCAAGCCCUUCUACUCUUAGUGUACCCUUAUCACACAAUAAGCCGUGUUCGAUUCCCGUUGUGUAUAUUUUCACUUUUUUCUGUUUUUAAUUAAAUAUUCAAAAGUUACAAGUUAUUAUCGUUUUAUUAUAUCUUUUGGCAAGUAUAACACCCUUGGCACAGCGGCUGCACACUUUGAUUCAUCUUUCGAGAGUUCACGAGUUCAAUCAACAUCGGAUCACUUUCUUUUUCAUUUUUUUUGUAAACUUUAAAGGAAUAUGCUAGGCUUUGGUGCAUUUUGCUUUCUCACUCUUUUUCUGGAAACCCAUCCUAAAAGUACCAUAAGCAUUUGACAAUUCAUCAAUACAUCCUAAAAAUUUUUCAAUAACAAUCUAAAUGAAAAAAACGUUAGGGAUAAUUCAUUACAAACUUAAACUUAAACGUUAGGGAUAAUUAAUAUCAAAGUAGAAAAACAGUGUAGAAAACAGAACAAAUAUGACAUUUUCACUUCCUUUGACCUUCCUGGAAAUCUUUAUCCAUAAACUGGUCGAAGAUCUCACAACAUAGCUUGCUUCGUAAGUCCAUCGCAGUUUCAUCAUUUAUAUUAGCCAUGCUCUUCAAUCCCAGUGACCUGCAUUCCAGCAUCUUCACAACAAAAAUACCACAGUUGUAUGGAAAUUUUGUCUUUGGAAGCCCUUCUGCAAACUUAACUUCAAAUGGACUGAUAUCUUCGAAAUUAACCUCUUCACCAAGAAGUUCCAUCUUUAUGGCACUAAUCAACACUGUCAUAAAUACCCAAAAUUAUACAAUAAAUCAAUCACCAACAGACAACAAAAUGAAUAUGUAAAAAUGCAUCACAAUCACAAGCAGCAAGUGACAAACUUUUAUUUUCUAAAUUAGCUAAUAUUUUUACCUGCCAGUUCUUGGAUUUGAUUAAGAGCACGUUUGAUAUUUGCUUUUGGAAGACCACAAUGGAAGAGUGUGAUUGUGUUGUCCAUCAAUUGUAUCUCCACCCCAAUAUAGUGACAGCUCAACUUAUCUUCAAUGACACCAUAUAUAACAUCAACAUCUUCCAGCCAUACCUUCUUUGGAUGUAUUAAACCUUUCACAAGUUCGCCUACACAGCCCUCCAAUAACUUUUUUUUUUCUUAUGUGGCUUCCUGACAGAUUCAUAAGCGUACCCAACCUCUUCUAAGAAUUUGACUGGUACAAAGCAUGCUGGUGGAAGAUUGUUGUUGCGGAACCAAGCACCUUGCUCAACCCUCUUACAAUUUAGCAUUUCAAAUGCAACAUUUAUGUGCUGCCAAUGUAACAAUAUAGUUAGAAACUUCAUAUAGAACUGCUAUAACAUGGACAUCUAGCAUAGCUCAACUCAACCUCUUCCUAAACAUAUCACACAAUCAAAUAGAAGACAGAACAGAGUGUUGAUUACCUCUUUGUUGAGAUUGUUUUCUGCAUCGUCCAUUUUUUGAAAGAACUCUUUUUCAAUUUCUUUUCCAUUGAUAUAAAACGGUCUGUAGUUGAUAAAAUUAACUAGUAUCAAUCGAAACUUUUACAAAAUAAAUUAGGAAUAUUUAUGCGAGGACAAAAAGUUGCUUACACACGAUAUAUGCCCCGUAGAUCCAUCCAGUGUGUAAGCCUUGAAAACCGAGGAAAUUCAGGUGUCACAAAUGGAUCAAUUGGAAGGAUUACCUCAGGUGUUACAGGUAUAGGAGGGUUUCUAGGUCGUAUUGGCCUCUUCUCUUCUCGCUGUAGAAAAGGAAGCAAAUCUACUGGCUGAGCAUUUGCUUUCUUCUUCUUACCAACAUGUGGCUUCCCCUUUAAUUAAAAAUAAAGACAAAAAUUCAGGAUCGUUUUUAUCUUUAUACUUGAAUGCCUUCCUAAUAUGAAGUAAAAAUAUUUUUUAUACCUUUUUUGCAUGAUCGUCUUGACUUGGUUUCACACUCUUACCCUGCUUUACUUCUAUCUGUGAAACAAAACCGAUAUAUCAAACUAUUGACCUGAACUUCAAUUCAAGUGGAUCUUAUUCAUUUUUAUUACCUCUUUUGCCAUUUUCCCAACACCAUCUUCUGAUGGACCAGCUGCUUCAUUUUUCUUACAAGCGACAGCCUUCGCCUUCCCCUUUUUGAAUGACAAAAAUUCAGAUACAUUUAUAUCUUAAUUCCUAGUAUGAUGUAUAAAUAUUUCAUACCUUUUUAUCACCAUCUCCUUCACUUGGAUUCACACUCUGCGUCUGCUCUUCUUCCAUCUGAAAAUCAAUACCGAGAUAUUAAACAAAUGACAUUAUUUUUCAAUUCAAGUGAUCCAAGGCAUUUGUUUUACCUUUUUUGUCAUCUCCCAAACACCAUCUACCCAUUUUCUUGGUUUUCGCAUCUCAGAAUGGUGGAAGUAAAUUUGUUCUUUAGAAUUGUUCAAAGAGACAAAACACGAGCCAUCAAACAAAAUGACUUUAACUUUUCCAGCGCACCAGGCACCAUUGUCGAACGCCUCCACGUCCUGCAUUAGCUCAUAACUUUUCUUCGCUCCAGAUCUCUCAGGUGGUGGUUGAGGACGUAUUCUGUCAAUUGAUACACGUGUCUCAACACUCCUUUUCCUCUUCUUUUCGUCCAGAGACGGGACGAAGUACUCAACUUUCACCAUCUCAACCCCAUCAACCAAAUAUGUUGCCAACACAUUUCCUGGAUACCAUUUAUGACAAGUAUUGUCAUCUUGUGAUGAAAUCUCCACAUUUGCUCCGAUCUCAAAGGGAUUUUGAACUCUGCUUUCUACAUCCUGUGAUGGUUUAGAUUCAAGGAUAUCCAGUCAUUUUGAUAGUUGCUGAGUAUUUAUUAAAGGUUUUAAUGAAAGUAAUACCUUAUUUUGCUCUGUUAAAAGAUUUCUGCGAGCUCGGGUAUUUGGCUGUGUGUCGGAAAUGUUUGGUGAAAUGAUCUCAUUCAUAAGCUCGUGAGUCUCCUGAAUUCAGGAAUGGUUGAAUGAACACGUACAAGGGCUUCCAAAAAUUACUUGAAAAGUCCAAUUUUUUAAAGAAGGUACCUGCUGCGUCUGAAUUGGAGUAAGGACUGGAGUCUCAAUAUUCUGUUGAGCUAUUGGAGAACCAGGUGUCUCUUUCGUGAUCUCAUUCAUAGGCUCUCGUGUAUCCUGAUGUCAGGAAUGGGAUUAUGAACACGUACCAAAUUCAUAAUUUUAUAAAUACCAACAGUUUUCAAAAUUAUACUUGCCUCAUUGUUAAGUUGUUCAUCUGCUUGAUCUGCAUUGGCUUCACCUUGUCUGGAAGCCGUCUCAUGAAAUGGAGUUGUGUCAGUCUGUGCAAGUACAACAAAAAUUAGGAAGGCAAGCCUAAAUAUGUAUAACAUCUUCCAAAAUUACUUGACAACUCAAAACUGAAUCAAGAACUAGAUAAACAUUAAUUUUAAUUUCCGAAAAAAAAGUUACCUCAUUGUUUGGAGUUUCAUAUGAAGUAACUCUUUGUAGUUUCUCUAGGUUUGUCACACGUUCUUUAAUCUGUUUCCUGUCUUUUUCAAUCAAACACAAACGAUCGUUCAUGAUCCUUAAAUUAUCUCCCACCAUCUCGCUGAUUCUGUUGAUCUUUGAUUCCAAAGACUCCUCCUGAUACGAAGUAGAAGCUUGACUCAUCCCUCCAUUCCCAAACAGUAAAGAUGCUCUUCUUAUUUCUUCAUUAGCACCGUAUAGGUCUACUGACAUGUUUCGCCAAUCUCUAAUUUUAAACUUAUAACCUCUCUUGGAUAAAUCGGCCAUGUCAUCCAGAUCUUUAUUAGCUUCGUCUCCCAUGCAAACAUCAUCUUCUGGAUCAUUAGAAAUAGGAGGUAGGAUGCAUGUGACCUUAAGCUGAAACCAUAAAAAUAAUUAGCUUUUAAAUGGAGAAUCAUAAGGCAAAACAGAAACAAGAAAAAAAUAAUGUAAAAACUUACAUGAUCUUUGAUUUCAAUUAGGAGAACAUCUAUCAGCUGUGGAGAAGCUAUUUGAAGGUACUUCUCACACAAAAAUAUUGGGGUAGACGGUUGAACGCUCAGAAUAGGAACAACUUGACUGAAUGCAUACUGUAGCAAAGGUACUGACUCAAGUAUCCAUAUAAGAAAUGCCAUAGGGAACCCUUGCAAAUCAUAAUUGUUUUUGUCGAGGCUUUUGUCGACAGCUCUCUGAAGUGAUUUUAACAGCAAAUUAUAAGCUGUUCUCCCCCAUGGGUAUGUCAUCAAGACAUCCAUAUCCUGCGCUAUUUUCACAUAAUCCAAAGUAAAAGUUGUGCCACCGUCGAGAAGGCUCUUCUGUAGUAGUAUGCUCUCAAUCAGGAGGAGCAUUGCAAGGCAGAAUCUCUCAUCAGAAGCAUCUUCUCUUGUGUUUCUGAGCUGCUUCUCCACGUCCUUUACUGUAUGAGUACGCCCUUUUAGGAAGUCCCACUUAAAUUUCUCGGUUCCCUCUCGUGGUUCUCUUGCUUCACCACUACAUUUCAAACCAGUCACCAUGUGGAAUUCUCUUAUAGAGAACCUCAUUGGCUGAGCACCAAAAUGGAACCAUGCUUCGUGUCUCUUCACUGUCUUGAUGCUUUUGGUGAGAACUGCGUGCACUAUCUUAGCUGAUAAUUUCAAAGACCUCUCUCCAAGCUUGAUCACCGGUCCCAAAAACGUCCCUCUUAUUCUGUUGAACUCAUCAUUUCCUAGAAUUUCCUUAACAGUUUUGAUAUAAGCAACUAUCGAGUGUUGGUUUAUCGAUAUCGUCUUCUCUGGCUCUGAUCCAAUCGGAUACCUCAGCUCAGGCAGUGCUAGUCUUAAUGGUAAUGGAUCUCCCAUCUUGUUUCUAUCCUGCGUAAACAAGAAAAAUUUUAUUUGUCUAAAUUAAUUAAAAUCCAAUUUUCAGGAAGGGUUUCCUGAAAAAAAUACAAAUCCUUCCCGAAGUCUAUACACAUGCUUUCACAUGAACUAGAAUUCUACGAAUCAUAUUAGGUUAAAACGAGCAAGUCUAUACACAAGCAAAAACCAGGAGACCAAUCUCUCAGAAAGAAAACACACAUAAGGUUGAAUCUGCAACAUACCUUCAAGAGAUAGAGCUCUAGAAAUGGUUUUUCUCGGAGAAUAGAGAGAGCUCGCGUAAAAGAUCGAGAGAGAGAGAGUUCUGGAGAUGGGUUUUCGUCGGAGAUCGAGAGAUAUGGAGAUGAGAGAGAGAUUCGAGAGGCGGAGACGAGUGAGAUUCGAGAAGUUUGAAACGGCGAGAGUGUUGAGACGGCAAGAGUUUUGUUUUUUUUCAAUCGAAAUGUAUUGUUUUGGAAACCUAUCCUAUAUUAAUUGGGUUAAGUAUGCUUAUGUAAUAUUCUUUAACAGAUGAUUCUCCUCAGACCAGCGGUUAAACCAAGGCUUUUUAUAACUCAAAAGUCUCUCUAUCCCCGGGUUCGAUAUGUGGUGGAUUCAAAAUCUAUUUUAAUUCUUUUUUGUGUUACAGUUUGGAGUUAAAUAAAAUUAAAUGUAAUCCAUAACAGAUGAUUCUUCUUGGCCUAGUGGCUAAACUCCCACACUAUCCAAAUACGCAGACUCUCUCCCUCUGGGUUCGAUCCUUUGUGGUUCUAAAUUUUUGUUGUCUGUAAACAUCACAAUUUUAAGCUUACCAUAUACAUGUCCAAUCCUUAGUAUAUAAUCUCAUUUCAUUCUUUUUUACAUUUGAAACACUUAACUUUUUUUCUGGAAACCCAUCCAGAAACAAUAUUUUAACCUUCCAAGAUAUAUGAUACCCAAAUAAAAUACUUGAUAUCCUUCCAAUCUUUCUUAUGUAACCAGACGCCAACAACAUAACAAAAUAAACAGUCAUAACUAAAACCGAGUCUUAACUAAAACAAAAAAUGUUUUCAUGCAUCAUUCUCAUUUCCCAAAGCUCUCAUCCACAAAUUGGUUGAAGAUCUCACAAGACAAGGUUCUCCUUAGCUCCAAUGCAUUGUCAUCAUUAAUCUUUGUCAUGUCUCCUAUCUUCAAUGACUGGCACUCCAGAAUCUUGACAAGAAAUAUCCCACAGUUGAAAGGAUGUUUUGUCUUGGGUAAACCUUGUGCCUGCUCAAUCUCAAAUGGAAUCAUCUUCACCUUAUCUACCUCAUCACCAGAAGAUUCCACCAGCAGAUUAGAAAUCAACACUGUCAUAUUUAAAAAUCAAUAUCAAGAUAGAAUCAGUUGAAUAUUUCAAACCAAGAAACAGAUGAAUACAUCAAAUACAGAUUGUUUAUACAUACCUGCCAACUUUUUCACUUGAGGAAUAUCAAUGCUGUUGCUUUCCUUUUGAAAACAAUCAUAUACUGUGAUUCUUUUCUUCUUCAAAUGAAUUUCCAUCCCAAUCCAGACAUUGCUUUUUUUUCCAAGAGUAAUCCCAUACACAACAUCAACAUCUUCUCCCCAUGUCUUCUCUGGAUAUACCUUCCCUCUCACAGUAUCUUUAAAUAAAUCGUUGAAAAUCUUUUUACCUUUGACCUUUUCUUUCUUGUAAGCCAAAUCAUCAGAGAGCAAGCAAUGCAAGAACUCCAUAGGUAGGAAGCACGCCUUUGGAAUCUUGUAGUUGUGGAACCAAGCAGCAUUCUCAUUUCUUCUGCAAUUUAGCAUUGCAAAGGCUCCAUCAAUGUGCUGCAAAAAAAAAGGCAAACAUUAUCUAAUUUGUUACUAUAUAAUUUCCUGAAACUAAACAAAUCCUUCCUGAAUUUUUUUUUAAAAAAAAAGCUCAAGGCAAGAACAUAUGUAAACAAAUUACCUCUUUCUUAAGGUCCUUUUUUGCAUUUUCCAUGCUUUGAAAGAAAGAUUUCCUUAUCUUAUUAUCAUUGAUUGAUAGGGACCUGCAGUCGAUUAAAGAUUCAAAGGAAUUACCAAACCUCUUAUACAUAAAUAUAAGAAUAUAUAGACAAGGACAGAAACAUGCUUACGUUUCAUGCAUGCCGGGCUUUAAUGUCAUCCAAUUUUGAAGCCUUGAAAGCUUAUGUUCCGCAGGAGUUGAAAACGGAUCAACUGCAGGUAUAAUCUCAGGUAUUACAGUUAAAGCCGGAUUUCUGUCAGACUUGAAUGGAGUUUUUGUGUCUCUAGAUCGUUUAGGCACCCUCUCGCUCCUUCUUAGGAAAACAUUAUCCAUUCCUGAAUUUUGUGAUGAGGCAGCAGCUUUCCUUUUCUUAUCAGGCUUCACCUUUAAUCAAACAAUAGACACCAAGCAAAAUAUUAUCAAAUUUGUUGCAAUCGGAAUUUCUGGAAACCAUUCCUGAAACUAAAAUGUAUGUAUAUCAAACAAUUCACGUGAAGUAUAAUUCUAGUUAUGAUUUACCUUAUCUGCCAUCUUCCAGACUCCAUCUUUCCAUUCUCUAUGAAUUCGCAAAUCUGAAUGUUUGAAUAGAAUAGUUUCCAUAGAAGUAUAGAGACACACCGAGUAUGUGUUAUCACCAAGUACCAUGCUAAUUUGUCCGCUGCUCCAGCCAUUGUUGUAGAAGGCUUCUACCUUAUCCAUCAUCUCAAAGGAUUUUUGGUCACUAGUUGGUGUUGCAGGACGUAUUUUGUCAGCCGUGAUAGUAUCCUGAAGUUUCUGAAGUCUAUGUUGGUCUGUGAAGAGUGUCGUGUACUCAACUGUCAGCUCCUCUAGUCCUUCACACAGUUUAAGAUCAACAACCUUUCCUGGAUACCAUAUUUCGUCAUCAGUAGACAAAAUUUCAACCUCUGCGCCUAUUUGAAAGUGAGCUAGAAGCCUGCUUACUUCAACCUAUUAAAAAUGAAGAUUCAGUAACAUCAGCGGUUUUAAAUUGUUAGAAUAAUAAUUAAAGAUCAAAUAUACUCGAUGCAUACCUCGUUUUUUUCUGAAAAAUCUAUAGCACUUGUCUGAAGAUGCUCUGUUUGCUGAGUAAUAGGCGGCAUCUUCGAAACAUAUGUGGAAACUAGCUCAGUAGUAGGUUCUGUAGUAUCCUUGAGAUUUUCUUCUGCUUGAUUCUGCUCUGAUGGUGUCUCAUCGGAUUGAUCUCCCUCACUUGUCUGAAGGUGCUGUGUUUGCGGAGUAAGAGGCUGUGUCUUCGAAACAUCUGUGGAAACUAGCUCAGUAGUAGGUUCUGUAGUAUCCUUGAGAUAUUCUUCCGCUUGAUUCUUUCUGCUUGAUUGUGAAUGCUCUCCUUCACUUGUAGAAAAAUAUUGGGUCGCAGUUUCUGUCUCACUCUAUAAGACAAAAGUAAAUGGUAAGAGUUAGUUGAAUAGAAAAAUAUUACCUAAACAUUUUAAAUAUUUCUUCUUACCAAAGCAUUCUUAUUUUCUUCAAUAACUAGUGCAAUUAGUGAAGACAAUGGAGAGGAAGGUCUGUAAUGCACAGCAUGUGUAUCCUCCUGUAAUAACAGUAAAAUAAAAGAGGUAGUUAUGAAGAAGUUUCUACAAUUUAAAAUUCAAGUUGUACUUAUGAAAGACAUUUCUAUGCUUACCUUUUUAUUGUUUGCUGAAAUGAUCUCAGUCAAUGGCUGUGUAGCCUCAUACGUUUCCUCUGUUACCGUCUGCAAAAAAAACAAAAAAAAGUCAGGUAGGGGAUCAAAAACACGUACAAAAGCUUUCAAACAUUACUUGAAAUCUCCAAGAUUUUUUGAACAUUUACCUGCUGUUUCUGAAUUGGAGUAAAAACUUGAGCCUCAAUACUCUUUGGAGAUAUUGGAGAAGAAGGUGUCUCAUUCAUUUCCAGUGUUUCUUUUUGCAAAACUUGAGUCUGAGCAGCAGGUGACUCAAUCACAAUCUGCAAAAAAUAUCAGGAAAGGCCAUCAUGAAUACAUUCAAUUAUAAUUUCUAGAGUAAAUAUUACCUCAUCAUCUGGUUUUCCUUCUCCUUGAUUAGUUUUGGGUGGCGUUUCAUCAGUAGAGGUUUGUGUUUCCCUCUGCCAAAAAUUAGAAAGGUCUAUAUAUGUAAAUCACCCAAAACUAAUUGUAAACUCCAACUGUCAUUGAGCAUAUACCUCUUUUGUCAGAUUAGGAGUAAAAACUUGAGUAUCAAGGGCAGGCGUGUCAUCCGAUGGCUCUCUCUCAAUCUGUAAAAAUUAUCACGAAGUCAAUCCAGAGUACGUUCUAAAGCUUCCAAACAUUAACUUAAAAAUCCAAGAUUUUUUUUGACCAUGUACCUGCUGAGUCUGACUUGGAGUAUAAACGGGAGUUUCAAUACUCUUUGGAGCUAUUGGAGAAGAAGGUGUCUCAUUCAUUUCUACUGUUUCUUUCUGCAAAACUUGACUCUGACUAGCAGGUGACUCACUUGUUAAUUUCUCUCUCACAAUCUGCAAAAAAAUAUCAGGAAUGGCCAUCAUGAAUACAUUCAACUAUAAUUUCUAGAAUAAAUAUUACCUCAUCAUCUGGUUUUCCAUCUUGAUUAGGAUUGGAUGGCCUCUCACCGGUAGACGUUUCUGUUUCUUUCUGUCAAAAAUCAGAAAAGCCUUUAUAUGUAAAAAAAAAUCACCCAAAACUAAUUUGUAAACUCCAACUGUGAAAACAAUAUCAUUGAGCAUAUACCUCUUUUGUCAGAUUAGGAGAGAAUACUUGAGUAUCAAGGGCAGGAGUUUCAUCAUCUGAUUCAUUCAUUGUGUCCUGCAAAAAUCAAGAAUGCAUUCUAGAAUAUGUACAAAAGCUUCCAAAUAUUACUUCAAAACUCAACAAUAUUUUAUUGGUUACAUACCUCAUUUGUCAAAUUAGGCUGUUGAGACAUUGGAGAUAAAGGCGUCUCACUCGAUGAUUGCGUGUAAUCCUGCAAAAAUCAGGAAGGCAUUCAGGAUUUUGUACAAGAAUUUCCAAAUAUUUUCUUAAAAAUUUUUGAGCAUAUACCUCAUUUUGUUGAGACUUUGGAGAUGCAGCUGAUUCAAUCAUUGUCUCCUGCAAAAAUCAGGAAUGCAUUCAAGAAGUACAAAAGCUUUCCAAAUAUUACUUCAAAACUCAACAAUAUUUAUUGGUUACAUACCUCAUGUGUCAAAUUAGGCUGUUGAGACAUUGGAGAUAAAGGUGUCUCACUCGAUGGUUGCGUGUGAGACAUUGGAGAUAAAGGUGUCCCACUGGAUGGUUGCGUGUGAGACAUUGGAGAUAAAGGUGUCCCACUGGAUCGCUGUUUGUCAAAUAUUAGGAAGGCAUUCAAGAAUAUGUACAAGAUCUUCCAAAAAAUACUUGAAAAUGCAAAUGUAAAAGAAGAUGUUUUGAGAAUUUACCUUUUGUGUCACGUUAGUGGGAAAAACAUUGCUGUUUCCUUCCAACUCUGACACACGAGCUCUAAGAUGUAUGUUUUCUUCUUCCAGUAAUGACAUUCGAUCCUUCAUGCUCUUCAGAUUCUCCUCCAUUACCGUGAUGAUCCUGUUCACUUUUUCAUUUACUGAAUCCUCAUCAAUCGGAGUAGAAGCUUGGCCAGUCUCCUUAUUUGCCAUCAUUUGAAUAAGAGCAUCCAAUGUGUCAAAUGUGUCUACACACCUAUUUUCCCAGUCAUCGGCUGUAAUCUUGUACCCUUUCUUUGUUACAUCUUUCACUGUUUCCAACUCGUCACUAUAUUUGUCUUCAAUGGAGAUAUCAUCUUCUGGAUCAUGAGGAAUAGAAGGUAGUAUGCAAUGGACCUUCAGCUGAGAAUAUUUCAAAAAAAGACCAAUGAGAAACAUAUUAAAAAGAAGAAGCCAAAUAAACUGAGAAACAUAUACUUGGAAAAGCUUACCUUUGUAUCAGCUUCAACCUGUAAAACCCUAUCAAGUGAUGGAUUCUCUAUCUCAGUGUAUUUUUCACACAAGUAAGUCGGCCCAGGAACCUCAACUGUUGGUACACACUUACUGAACUUAUUCCUUAGCAAAGGAAUCGACUCUAGUAUCCAAAGAAGGAAUACUAGAGGAUAACCUUGCAACUCAAAUUUGGAUUUAUUCUCCAAAUGAUUCGCGACAGCGUUUUGAAUUGACUUCAGGAGCACAAUGUAAGCCUCUUUUCCCCAUGGAUAUGUCAUAUCCUGUGCAUUUUUCGCAUAUUCCAAAGGAAAACUCCCUCCUUUGCUCUUCCGCAAUAAUAUGCUCUCUACCAGGAUGAGCAUUGCGAGGCAUAUUCUCUCCUCAGAAGCAUCUUCUCUUGUGUUUCUGAGCUGGUCCACCACGUCACUUAACUUAUGACUACGCCCCUUUAGCAAUUCCCAAUUAAAUCUCUCGGUUUCCCUUCGUGGUCCUUCUAAUGCACCACUACAUUUCAAGCCUGUCAUCAUAUGAAAUUCUCUUAUAGAGAACCUCAUUGGCUGCGCACCGAAAUGGAACCAGGCUUCAUUCUCCUUGACAGAAACGAUGCUUCUAGUGAGAAUGGCGUAGACUAUCUUUGCUGAUAACUUCAAUCCUCUCUCACUGAGCUUCAUUACAGGUCCCAGAAAUGAUCCUCGGACUCUUAUCAUCUCAUCUGGUUUUAGGAUGCUUUUGACAAUAGAGAUAUAAUCUGAACCAGAGUAUUGGUUGAUUGCUGACUUUUCUUUUGGCUGUGAACCAAUAGGAUACUUCAGCUCUGGCAGUGCUAGUUUUAGAGGUACUGAAUCUCCCAUCUUGUUUCUAUCCUGCGUAAACAAGGAAAAAAAAAAUUUCAAACUUUUCUGGAAGGCUUUCCUGAAAUAACACAAAUACAAAACAACACAAAAGUCUUCAUUUGCUUCGCUUGUUAAUAAGAACGAGUAACACACAAAUCAAAAUCAAAACGCAAGCUUCCCAAAUUUUAAUUCAAAAACCCUAAUUUUAAAAAGUUACCGAUUUUGAGAGUAGAGAGUGUGACGCUGAUGAUUAGAUAGCCGGAGAAGAUGAUUAUCGAGCCGGAGAAGAUGAUUAGCGAGCCGGAGAAGACGAUUAGCGAGCCGGAGAAGAUGAUUCCCGAGCCGGAGACUUCGAUUCCCGAGUCGGAGAAGAUGAUUCCCGAGCCGGAGACGACGAUUCCCGAGUCGGAGAAGAUGAUUCCCGAGCCGGAGACGACGAUUCCCGAGUCGGAGACGACAGUGCCGGUGAGGGUUUGAAGAUUCCCGAGAGGAGACGACACGAUUCGCGAUCGAAUGAAAUGAAAUGUUUUUUUUUUCUAUUCUUAUAACAAAGGGUAUAAAGGUAAAUUACCCCUUUAAUGAAACCUAUUUUUGUGACUUCUGAUCCUGAGUGCUAGUUUGGGGAGGAAAACUUCAAAAGGUGCUAUUAUUGACAAUUGCCCUUUUAAAAACGUGCAUCAUUAAAAUGUUACCUAAAACAUGCAACACUAAUAUAUAACAUGCAUCAAUAAAACUAGAAUUUGACUCACACAAUUGUACGGAUAUUAUUUUCAGUUGAUUAAAUUUAAAAAUAAUUAUUUAUUCAAAAAAUAUUUAAGAAUGGCUAUGUUUUUAAAACUUAUAUGGUAUUAUUUGCUCAUAACUCAUUUGUCAUUUGAUAAAUUGUUAGAAAUAAAAAUUUUAGCAUAAUAUAACUCAGUUGUCAUUUGCUAAAUUUAUAGUUUUUAUUUAUAUUUUUUAUUAUUUAAUUAUAAUAUUUUCAUUUUAUAUUUGAAAGAUAAAUGAAUUUUCUUUCAAACAAUAUUUUUGUAAAUGUAUUUUUUAAAAAAUAAUCAACUAAAAUUGUUAUUAUCAUUGAAUAUAAUUAUUUUUGACAUAAUUUGAGUUUUCGUUUACAUCAAAACUUAUCAUAUUUUAGGAUAAUUUUAAUUUAAAAUGUAAUUUUCAUAUUUUUCAAACAAAUUCUAAAAAUAUUUUUUUAAAUAUUUUGUUAUAAUUGUUAAAAAAAUAUUGAGUUGCAUUUCAAAUAAAAAGGUAAAGAUAUUAAAAAUAUUCUAAUUAAAAUAUGUAAAAUUUAAUAUAGUUUUAAGGAAAUUGUCAAAAUAAAAAAAAUUACACAUAAAAUAAUCAUGAUUUUUGUUAACUGGGCGGAUCAUUAUUUAUAUGAUAUCGCACACGAAAGAAAAAAAAAUUUAAAUUAUCUAAUUAACUCUAUACUCAUUUUAUUUAUAUUUUUAUAUGGUAUCAUACAUUCGUAAAAAAAUAGAUAGUUUAAGAUGAAAAAAAAUAUAUUUACUUAAUGAAUAUAAUAUGAACGAAUAUUACAAAUACAUCAUUUAAUAAAAUAAAUAAUUAAAAAGUGAAAAUUCAUACCCGCGCUGGCGCGCGGAUCAGGAUCUAGUUUUAAAUUAUUCUACAUGUUAUUUCCCAAUUCAAAGUUUCAAACCAUAAAACCACAUAAUCUUUGUGGUUAAAAAAAAAGAAAAAAAAAGCAUAGGCGAUGGAGAGGCAUGUUUUAACGAGGGUCAAGUUGGUUUUUAUUUGGUUAAUUGUUUUUGGUUCAAGUGUUUCGACUUUAAUUUAGGUUGUAAACGAAUUUUGGUUUACGUUGUAAACCAUUAAAUCAGUGAAAAGCCGGGUUUGUGUUUCAGUUUUUUGAAUUGGUGAGUAAUACGUAAAAUAACUUAAAAUAUGUGAAAUUAAGAUGAAGUUGAAAGUUUGUGUAUAAUUGUUAUUAUAUGAUAUUUUGUGGGGGAAUUAUGUCCUUUACUCAAAAACAUUUAUAUAAGUUUAUAAAUUCAACCCCAUUUCCUAAUCUUAAAACCUAAACAAUAAUCAAUAAUCUAAACCCAAAUGUUAAUGUAGUUUUGAUUGAGCAUAUCUUUUUAAAAUUAGUAGCCAAUUUAGAAUAUUUCAAACUUCUUAAAAAUAUUCUAUUGAUGUAAAUAUAAAGAUUAUCUAUUGUAUAUAUGAUUAAAUAUUGGUUCCAUUUUAUAUAUUAAUUCAAAAUUAAGAAUUAAAUUUAUAAUAUAAUAGAAACUUUGGGUUUUAUUGGUUUUAUUAAAUAUCAAGGUUCAUAAUCAGAGAUAGUGAAAAACUAAAUUCAAGUUCGAGCUUAGAGUGAGAGAUGUGAAAAUAAAAAUAGAAUGAUCAAAAUGUUAAUGAGGCAAAGUCUUGAGAGAAAAUGAGAGAAAAUAGAAUUUUUAGGUUGAAAUCUAUUUAUAGAUGUCUUAAAACGAGCUGGAUCCACCCAAUAAAGCUCGGUCAAACCAAUAAAAAGUGGUCUUUCCGUCUGACAUGGUCAUCCCACUAUAAGUAGGUCGCUACAACACUUAGUUGUGUGGGGCUUCUUGGGGAACCAUAGCGACAUGCUCUGGUCGCUACAGCUAUGGUCGAUACAUGGUUGAUAUGACUCCAGUAGAUAGAUCAUAACUCCUUCAAUACAGCUACAAAUGAUUUGAAACCCCGGCAUUGGAAAGCUAACUCAAUUGUCUAUAUCGUCCCGAAAUUCGAGCUUCAGAAGAGAUCUUUAAGGCCGUCAUCCAUGUUCAUCUUUUACCCUUUUGACUCAAAACUCCUCAAAUUCCCUCAAACUCACCAAUAAAUAUCUCCAAAACCUGAUAUAGACACAUGCAAUGCGAUAUAAAUAUGUAUAAAUGCAUCUCUAUAUGAUCAUUAUAUACAUUAAAUGAUAAUUUAAAAUCAUGGAAAUUUAUAAGAUAUCAACCCUCCCACACUUAUCAUUUACUUGUCCAUAAGUAAACUUUCAAGAACAAAGUGAGAAAGAGGUGCGAAGGUGGAAGCUCAUUACCAAAAGAUAUUUUUCAAAGCCGUCAACGUGAUAUCCUUACAAAAUCAUACCAAAUAUCAAGAGCAAAACAUCAUAUGAAACUCUAACUUCUCUAGGCUGAUACUACUCAAAUUACCCUAAGGAGUGAUUUUACUCUCUCAAAUAAGAAGUUCAAUUGUAGUACUUAGGGAUCGAAGCUACAGAGAGUUAGGGCACACAAUAGACUAUUAAAACCAAGAUUAAGCUAGGCAAAGCAGUAAAUCAAUGAAAGCAAGAUGAACAAAGUAGUUGUUCCAUUGGUUGAUUGAGGUUGUAAACAAUUAAGAGAAAUAGCUAGACCUAGGGAUUUAUCAAUCAAGAGAUUCAAAACUUCAAUUCAAGGAUGCUAAUGGUUUACAGAUUAAUUUUAGAACUUGAUUUUAAUAAGUAAGCAAUCCAGCUUUCACAUGCAAUUGCUAAUCAGAUGUUUAAGUCCAGUCUCAGCUGUCGCUUAUUGACUUGGGGCGAGUGUCGAUCGAUGCUAUGGCCUGAGCGUCGAUCGAUACUUCCCCAGACAAGCAUUAACGACCUAAUCAAUAUAGUUCAACUAGAUUCCUAGACCAAUUCUCGCAUGCGCCUAGGUAUCUAAUCCAGCAGAGUUCGGGUUCCGUUAAUUGAUUGCACUUUCGUGCCUCUCAACUAUCCUAUGAUUCUAGGUUCAAAUAAUUAGUCGCACUGUCGUGUUAUUCUAACUAUUCCAGAUCCUAGUAUUACAAAUCAUCCUGGUGUAGAAAUCUAUAGAUAAUAUAGCAAUCCUAAUUGAUCAGUUUGACAUUAAGCUCAUGAAAUCCCUAAACCUAACAAGAUGAAUUACUUAGACAUGCAAACAAUAACACAAAUCAUAGUCUGAAAAAUAUAAUAGAUAAAUCAAUGGUAAGACAAAUGGAGUUCCAAUCAAUAUCUGAAGGAGAAUUGAUCUUCUCUCUAAACCUAAGAAAAAACAAUAGAAUAGGAUAAUAGAAAGCUUGUUACCGUUAACAAUGAUUUAUAAAUAAAUACAUAAAUAGGGUUUCUGGUCGUCCAUGGGUAUUUUGGUAACUUGGUGUGGCUUCUGGGCUUCAAACGGUCUUGAAAAAUGCGUGUCCCACGUUCUGGCAUCACUGUCGAUCGACACUAAUGCUGUGUUAACGAUCGACAGUUAUUCAUCUCCUCGAUAGCUUCUUCUCGCGAGGCAGACUGACUACUUUUCAGUAAAACGGUCAUAACCUCUGCUGCAGGUUACCAUUGACCUCAAACCGAUGGAAUUGGAAAGCUAACUCAAAGCUAUAUUUUGUGUCAAAAGAUGGGCUCAAUAUAACGGUGGGAAAGUCUCCAUCUAUAGCUAAAUAUCUGACGUGUAUGUGCCGCUCUGCACAUCAAAAGGCUCCAAAAGACACCAAAAUCACCACAUUCCUCCAAAUCGUCCAUGAACCUGUAAAUACUCUAAAUAGACUCUAUAUAGUAGUAAAUAUAUGUUAAAACACUUAUAGAUCAUGGCUAAAAGAGGGUAAAAUCCAUGGUCUAUCAACUUCCCCAGACUUACCCUUUUGUUUGUCCUCAAGCAAAACAGACGGACAGUCUCUCUGAAAGAGGUUUGAAAACAGCAGGGACUCACAUGAUUUAAAACUUAAACUCAAAAAUCAAUAUUUAUAUCGAGCAAUAACCAAAAUGAAAAAAAAACGACACAAAAAUGAGAAAAAUAUUGAAGAUAUUUAGGAUUGGCACGUGAACGUAAACUUCUCAUAACCAUAAUUAACUUUUAAAUUGCUAAAUCAUUAUAUAAAACAGAACUCUCAUAUUUUCAUUGUAACCAAAUAGUAGAUCUGAGAUUCUCUCGUCUAAAUGUUAGGUUCUUAUGCGAUAAAUGAAUUUUUGACCUAAGAUAUUUUUAAAAUAGAAUCAGCUCAUCAGUAAACAAAUUAUAUAAUUAACAAAAAAAAAAUUUUAAAUGAUUUAAGGGCCAAAAUUUAUUCGAUCAAUAAUAUAAAUUUUAUUUUUCCAUACGAUAUUUCUUAAAUAAUUCGUCCUACGCAAAGCGUACGUCUUAUCCAAGUAUACUUAAUAUAUUACCAAAAAAAUGUAUCCACAAGAUAUUAAUUUUACAGAAUUUUCCCAUUUUAUGUCUGAUUUGUUUCAGUUUGAUUUUCCUUUAAAAUUUUAAGGCUACAAAAAUGGAUAUCACUGAAUUAAUUUACGUUGUGUUAUUUAUUUUUUUGAAACUCAUUUACGUUGUGUUAAGUCGUAGAACCAUAGAACCAGGCCCGGCUUAAAUACAUUAUGGGCCUUGUGCAGACAUAUAUUUUUUCCCAAAAAUUAUAAGGAAAAAAGUUUCAUAGCUACCCGAAGUUUACACUAAUAUGGUGAAAACCAUCCAAUAUAUGAAAAUAUGUCUACAACAACACGAAGUUUAUGUUAAUACAUGUCACAUGUACGAAGUAAAUAAUAAUAUGGUAGCAACAUCACAAUUGGGUUUAAUUAAUUUUAAGCUAAGUUAAUGGGGUCAAUCCGUGAUUUACUAAACUUAAUAAACUUAAUAAUUUAAUAAACUUAAUAAACUUAAUGGUUUAUUAAGUUUCAUAAACUUAAUUUAUUUUAUUAAUAAACUUUAACUUAAAAACUUAAUAAUUUAUUAUACUUAAUAAAUUUAAUAAACUUAAUGGUUUAUUAAGUUUAAUAAACUUAAUUGAUUUUAUUAAUAAACUUUGUAAUUUAAUAAACUUUAACAUAAUAAACUUAAUAAUUUAUUAUACUUAAUAAGUUUAUUAAACUUAAUAAUUUAAUAAACUUAAUAAACUUAAACUUAACAAAUUUAUUAAACUUAAACUUAAUAAACUUAAUAAAUUCAUUAAACUUAAACUUAAUAAACUUCAUAAAUUCAUUAAAUUUGUUCAAUUUAUUAAGUUUAAUAAAUUUAUUAAGUUUAUUAAUAAAUGAUUAAGUUUAUUAAGUUUAUUAAUAAAUGAUUAAGUUUAUUAAGUUUAUUAAUUAAUGAUUAAUUUUAUUAAGUUUAAUAAAUUUAUUAAUUUUUAUAAGUUUAAUAAAUUUAUUAAUUUUAUUAAGUAAGUUUAAUAAAUUAUUAAGUUUAUAAACAAAAUCAAUUAAGUUUAUUAAAAUUAAUAAAUCAUUAAGUUUAUUAAGUUUAGUAAAUUACGGAUUGGCCUCACUAACUUAGUUUAAAGUCAAUUAAACCCGAUUGUGAUGUUGCCACUAUAUUAUUAUUUACUUCGUACAUGUACAUGUGACAUGUAUUAACAUAAACUUCGUGUAGUUGUUGACACAUUUUCAUACAUUGGAUGCUUUUCACCAUAUUAGUGUAAACUUCGUGUAGUUAGAAAACUUUUUUCCAAAUUAUAAUGAUAUUUCCUUAAAUUUACAAAUUAGGACUCUGUGCAUGUGCACCUUGAGCACACCCCAAGAGCCAACACUGAAUAGAACCAAAUAAGAAAGAUUUCUGAUAAAAAGAUUGUAUGAUUAUUUAGGAGACUAGAUUCCAUGUUGUGUGCCGUGCUGCCGUGCUGAAAAUACUUUUAGUUUUAUAACCCAUGUUCAAAAACACGGCCGAGUUGGCCGACUUCGCGCCGGUCAAACGUAAUUCGGUGGUGUUUUGCCGCGAUUUUGUGUUAUUCGGGUAAAAACUCGGAUUAAAAAAAUAUACAUAUUUUGACAUUUUCCAGUUUGAAAUCGGUUCUUUAAGCAUAGAUCUAUCAUAUUUCAUUGUUACCGAUCAAGAAUUGAAGUUAAUCGUCGAAGAAAAAAAUGAUUUAUGUUAAAAAUAAAUGAAAAACGGCUGUUAAUUAGGGUUGGAGAAAAAACAGGUCGGGAGGAAAAUGAUGAAAGUAAAAUUACAAAUGUGUCUUUCAUUAAUGAAAUGUUUAAAGAAAGAGCAAAAAAAUGGACAUUUUUGGGAAUUGAACCCGGGAGAAGAGAACUAGUUUUUUUAAGGACUUGCAUGCAUGAGAUUCUACGCGUACAGUUUUACGAUGCAAGUCCUUACGGUACAUUGUAAAACUGUACCGACAUCGUCAAUGUUUAGUCUACGCGUACGGUUAUAACUCACUAGUUAUUUAUAUUAUUAUUAUUAAUUUAUUAUUAUGGCGGAGUCGUCACAUGCAUGCAUGAGAUUCAUUCAUUCAUAAUGUCACACUCACACACUAUCCAUUCCCCUUUUUUUUUUGGACUCUUUUUUUUUUGUUAUAAAGAAAAUAAAAUUCUUAAAGUGACAGACUUCACGGGUUACACUGUGUUACUACCCGCCAAAUUCUACCCGCCACCUUUUAAAUUUCAUUUUAGUUUCUUCACCGUCAAUAAAUCGUCAGGACAAAAUAAAUACUUUUACAUUUCAUUGUUUUAUCGUACCAAGUGUGGUCAGUAUCUCUAAUAAUUUUGAAGAAUAUUUAGAAAACUAGUUAGAUUAUAAUUUUCGACGAUGUUAAUAUAUAUGUCGAAGUAAAUAAGGUAAAAAAAAAUGGUUCGUUUAUGGUUUUAUAUGGCAUUUAAAUUUUGAAUAUUGACUAUCAGAUUCAGUAUAUCAUUUAGAAUAGAAACAAAAGUAACCUAAAACUUAUAGAUUGAACUUCUUUUCAGAAUGUAUAUGCAGAGCCGGUCCUAGUGUAUUUGAGGUUACAAGCUAAAAAAUAAAAAAUGGCCGAAUUUUUUUUUUUUUUGCACUAGGGAAUUAUCGAACCUUGCUCUUUCAGACUAGACAUAUGUUGAUUCAACCACUAGACUACACAAGUUUUUGAUAAUUUUGUGGCCGCUUUUAUAUUUAUAAAGUGGCGGCCGGAAGUCCAUGCUUCACCAGCUUGGGCCCAAGACCGGCACUGUGUAUAUGGCACUGUGUAUAUGCAUUUACAGCUUUAGUAUCCUUUGAAUUAUUAAUUAUCAAAAAAAAAUUGUAUCCUUUGAAUUAUCGAUUAUACUAGCCAGAAUUAGUACAUGCUGACCUAUUUACAUUAUAUUUGAAAUCCCAUAGUGAAUACGCGCACCAUGACUAGUAUUACUAUUAUUGUAUUAUAUUAUAUUUACAUUAAUAUGUAAUAUGAAAAAACUAUAAAGAGAAUCAUCAGUCACGGACAUCAUGACUCAAUCACUCUAAGCUAGAAUGCUAGAUACGGAAUAUCUUUCAGAAGCGUGGGACUAAAAUAUUACAAGAAAUAGCUUCGAACAAUUCACAGAAGCUAGCAUGGUGAAAAAUAAUCUUGAACCCAACAGACUACUUUUGGUCGGGAACCCCAAUAAGUUGGAACUUUGUUCAAGAUUUAUCAACCUAUAUUUGUAUAUGAAUAGUUGAAUAGUGUAUAUCCCAAGAACUGAUUCUCUUUUUCCUAUUUGUAUAGGCAAAGACAUAAACUAGCACCCAAGAGAACUUGCCUAUGAUCCUCUCUCUCAAAAAAAUGUGGACCUAACAAGGAAGGAACAAGACAAAAAGAGUGAGAACGAUUUUUUUUAUUAUAUCUUGUAACUAUAUAGAGAAUGGGAGGUGUCUCGUAAGUCAAGUAGUAAUGACAAAACCCCUUCAUAAAUUGUCUACCCACUGGGCACUACACUACAAGAACCUUUGGUUGCUCCCAUUGUUUUCACCUAUAAAUUACAAAUAUGACUAUGCCUAAGGUUCUUAAGAAACCUAAUAUAACGAAGGUUUAAGUUAGUGGCUUCUAAAAGCUUAGACUAUGCAUUCUCUAAUAUUGAUUAUAGACUAAACAUUGACAAUGUCGGUACAGUUUUACGCGUUGGCUUUAGAUAUUAUAAGGACUUGAUCUGAGGUUUAGUUAAAAUAAGGUGCAAGACAUAAGACAUGAUUCUUAAAAGGUACUAGCUUAAGACCCGCGCAAUUGCACGAGGUGAAUGUUAUAUAUAAAACUAAUUUUUAUCUAUUAUUAUUUAUUUAUAUUCAUUUACGUAUUAUGUAUAUAAUUAAAUUAGAGUAAGAACAUAAAUCAAAACAAUACAUCUUGUUUAUUUACGAUACUUUUUUGGUAAAUAAAUCAAAACAAUCAUUUUAUUUAUUUUCUAUGGUAUAUAACUAAAUUUCAGUAACAUGGACAUAGAUAUAUAGUAUAUUUUAAUAUAAAUAUUUAUUAUUGAAAAUUCAUACUCAUAUGAUAAACACAAAAUUUCUAAUGUGCGAUUUUUUAAUGCAAAUUUUAAAAUUUAAAUAUUAAGGUUUCAAUACUUUUUCAAUAUAAAUUUAGAAAUUAUCAUAUUUAAGUAUUAUUCUAUGUUAUAUAGUUUAAUUUUAAACUAUAUUAUUAUAUAAUAUGAAUGUCUAGCAAAUGAGACUUCAUAUUCAUACGAUUUAUGAUCAUUUGUAUCUUGUUAUUACCAAAACAAAGUUAAACCAUUGAUCACAAAAUUUUAGUGUGAGACAUUUAACGUUUUUAAUAAUUUAUAGUCGUUUUAGAAAUUCAAAAUAUAACAUAUAUUUUUUUAUUAUUAUUAUAUGGUUAAUGUUGUUGUUUAAUAUUUUUUAAUAAUAUAAAAUUAAACAAAAAAGAGCUAAGAUACAAAAUUUAUUAUCAAAUAUUUAUUAUUCAUAAUCAUUAAUUAUCAUAUAUACAUUAAUCAUAUUAAGCAACUCCGUAGCUUUUAUUUAAGGAAAGUGCGAGAAUAUUAUUUUGUACACUAUUUAUAAAUUUAAUAGUUAGUUUAAUAAAAAAAUAUAAUAUAAGUUAAGAUAAACCAACCUAUUUUUCUAUGAAUUCUGAAAUUCAUUCUCAUGGUCACACGUGACUACAAAAUAAUGUUGUAAUGUUUCACAAUUAAUAUAUAAAAAAGAUUAUUGGCAUGCUUCACGAAGCUAAUUUUUGACCAAAUAUGCAAAUAUAAACUAUGGAAAUUUCUUAGGAACAUACUAGUAAUGAAAAUCAUUGGAGAUCGUACUAUCGUUAUUCGUUACUGAUUCUUUUGCAAAAAUAAACAUAUAAGAAAUGAUUAUGCUAGUUUAUGUUGCUGAGUGCUACAGUUUAUGGGUCUGACCGGUGACCAUUCAUAAAACAAGAGGAACAACAGAAAAAGAAUAUACCGGAAAAAAAUAGCAAGAAUGAAAGUGAAUGGUUAUUGCUUCUCAAAUUUAAUAAGGAAUAAUUUUAUUUUUUAAUUUUCUACAAAAAAAAAGAACGAAAAAGAAUGAGAUAGAAUUAUUAUUCCUUGUGAAUGGUGAUUUUUUAUAGGAACGUUAGAGAAUGCAUUAUUUCCCAUCAUUUCUUGGUCACCUUUCGUAAAAUAGUGUUGUUUUUCUAAUUAAGCAUUUUCAUGUUUUUGUUUUUCUAAACAUUUUCAUGUUGUUUGUUUUUCUAUACAUUUUCAUGUUACGGUAUAUAUAGGCUGAGCAUGUCCAAGCUAUUCAAAAUUAACCGAAUCGUGGAACAGAUCCAGUAACUAGCUAAUUCAUAGUUCUAUUAAAAUUGAGGUUAAGUAUAUAAAAGAAAAAAAAAACAAAGAAAUGAAUAGUAACAAAACUAGAGAGAGAACAGAAAGGAAUAGAGAUUUUGCCGAAACUUUUCUAAGUACAGUGUCUGAGUAUUUUUUUGGUAAUCAUGUUAAAUCAGUGUCUGAGUUCUUCAAACCUUCUCAGACUUGUCGUUUGUAAUUAAUCAUUAUCUGGCCGAUUAAAAAUGAUUAACGUAUUUGAUUUCGUGUUUUCCGAAUGCUUUCACACUAACCAAUUACAUUUUCACAAAAUUUACAAAUAGGUUCGUAGAGCAUGCAGCCAUGUGAUGAGCACAAAAGUGAACAAUUCUUUAGCAGUUUACUUAUAUCAACGUAAAUAGCGAAUGUUAUUCCUAAAUUUCCCUGAAAAGAUAAGAAUCUACGACUACAAAGAUACGCCAAUUUAGGAAAGUAUGACAAACCCUUUAAUUUCGUUUUGGAACUAAGUGACCUUAUACCUGCUUAAUAAAAUCUAAUAUUCCAAUCAUCUAAUCACAGUUUGGUGCUUACACUAUUAAAAAUAAACAAAUAUCGGCGAAUACUUUUUCUAUAAAAGGGUGCACACUAUCAUAUACCUACUUACUAAGUCGUUUACACAACCCAAACCCUCAUUCUAAGAGAUGGGGUCUCACACACAAAACCUCUCUUUUCUUAUCCUCCUUCUCCUAGGCUUCCUUGCUGUCUCAUUCGCUUGCGAAUGUAGCCCUCCUAAACCAUCUCCGAGACCCCACAAACCGCCUAAACAUCCCGUCAAACCGCCUAAACCACCAGCAGCCAAACCACCAAAACCACCGGCAGUAAAACCUCCUAAACCCCCCACCAAACCUCCCACCCUUAAACCACACCCCCACCCUAAACCUCCCACCGUUAGACCACAUCCACACCCUAAGCCCCCUACCAAACCUCAUCCCAUCCCAAAACCGCCCACCGUUAAACCACCACCCUCCACACCCAAACCGCCCACAAAACCACCCACCGUUAAACCACCUCCAUCCACCCCUAAGCCGCCCACCAAACCACCCACCGUCAAACCACCACCCUCCACCCCAAAACCGCCCACCAAGCCACCCACCGUCAAACCACCUCCGUCCACCCCUAAACCACCUACCCACAAGCCACCAACAGUGUGCCCACCGCCAACACCAACACCAACCCCACCUGUUGUAACGCCACCAACACCACCAACACCAACUCCACCAGUCGUUACGCCACCAACACCAGCCCCACCUGUUGUAACGCCACCAACACCAACACCACCGGUCGUAACGCCACCGACACCAACCCCUCCUGUCGUAACACCUCCAACACCACCGGUCGUAACGCCACCGACACCAACUCCUCCUGUCGUAACACCACCAACACCACCGGUCGUAACGCCACCGACACCAACCCCUCCUGUCGUAACACCUCCAACACCACCGGUCGUAACGCCACCGACACCAACCCCUCCUGUCGUAACACCACCAACACCAACUCCACCUAAGCCAGAAACGUGCCCAAUCGACACGUUGAAGCUAGGCGCUUGUGUAGACGUUCUUGGAGGUUUAAUUCACAUCGGGCUUGGUGGAAGUAGCGCCAAGAAAGAGUGUUGUCCGGUUUUGGGAGGCUUAGUUGA
rnacentral:lncRNA from 1 species